GAUGAACGCUGGCGGCGUGCCUAAUACAUGCAAGUCGAGCGAACAGACGAGGAGCUUGCUCCUCUGACGUUAGCGGCGGACGGGUGAGUAACACGUGGAUAACCUACCUAUAAGACUGGGAUAACUUCGGGAAACCGGAGCUAAUACCGGAUAAUAUAUUGAACCGCAUGGUUCAAUAGUGAAAGACGGUUUUGCUGUCACUUAUAGAUGGAUCCGCGCCGCAUUAGCUAGUUGGUAAGGUAACGGCUUACCAAGGCAACGAUGCGUAGCCGACCUGAGAGGGUGAUCGGCCACACUGGAACUGAGACACGGUCCAGACUCCUACGGGAGGCAGCAGUAGGGAAUCUUCCGCAAAGGGCGAAAGCCUGACGGAGCAACGCUGCGUGAGUGAUGAAGGUCUUCGGAUCGUAAAACUCUGUUAUUAGGGAAGAACAAAUGUGUAAGUAACUAUGCACGUCUUGACGGUACCUAAUCAGAAAGCCACGGCUAACUACGUG
rnacentral:rRNA from 1 species